rnacentral:misc_RNA from 1 species
AAGUCGUAACAAGGUUUCCGUAGGUGAACCUGCGGAAGGAUCAUUAACACGUAUCCAACGUUAAACCCCCCCGUGAACGUACAUUCCUUCUCCGCUUACAGAAAAUUGGUUGCAAUCCCUGGUAAAUCAUCGCCGAACAGUUUUGAUUCAGGGACCUCUGCAUGGAGUGGGCAGCAGCGCGAGGCAAGUGGCCUGGCAUUCGAAAGAAUGGCGCAGUAACGAUCGCUAGAGGCCGACACGGCCGGCGACCGGGUCACUGGGCUCACGCCCCCCUAUCACCUUUGCAUGAAAACGGGCCUGCGCUUAAUUGUGCGGCCACCAAACUCGAACAACUGUUAACAAUGGAUAUCUUGGUUCUC